UGUGAUCGAGCCUUUGAAGAACUCCAAGGCGCAAGAACAACUUGCCAAAGGUAAAUGUGAUCAGCUAGAUGUCAAAGAAAAAAAGUUGGUCAAGGAAGAGUUUGAACCUAGACCUAGUGUUACAAAGUAUGACGGUGGUGAGGGUAAUAAGAAUAUGAAAUUACUUGUAAAUGAUGAGUUUGAACCCAGACCAAGUGUUACAAAGUAUGAUGGUGAUGAGAGUUAUAAGAAUAUGAAAUUGUCAAUAAAUGAUGAGUUUGAACCCAGACCAAGUGCUACAAAGUAUGAUGGUAAUGAGGGUUAUAAGAAUAUCAAACUACCAGUAAAUGAUGAGUUUGAACCUAGACUAGUGUUACAAAGUAUGACGGUGGUGAGGGUAAUAAGAAUAUGAAAUUACUUGUAAAUGAUGAGUUUGAACCCAGACCAAGUGUUACAAAGUAUGAUGGUGAUGAGAGUUAUAAGAAUAUGAAAUUGUCAAUAAAUGAUGAGUUUGAACCCAGACCAAGUGCUACAGAAUAUGAUGGUAAUGAGGGUUAUAAGAAUAUCAAACUACCAGUAAAUGAUGAGUUUGAACCCAGACCAAGUGCUACAAAGUAUGAUGGUGAUGAUGGUUAUAAGAAUAUGAAACUACCCAUAAAUGAUGAGUUUGAACCCAGACCAAGUGCUACAAAGUAUGAUGGUGAUGAUGGUUAUAAGAAUAUGAAACUAUCCGUAAAUGAUGAGUUUGAACCCAUACCAAGUGUUACUAAGUAUGACGGUGAUGAAGGUUAUAAGAAUCUGAAAUUGACCAUAAAUGAUGAGUUUGAACCCAGACCAAGUGCUACAAAGUAUGAUGGUGAUGAUGGUUAUCAGAAUAUGAAACUACCGAUAAAUGAUGAGUUUGAACCCAGACCAAGUGCUACAAAGUAUGAUGGUGAUGAUGGUUAUCAGAAUAUGAAACUACCCAUAAAUUAUGAGUUUGAACCCAGACCAAGUGCUACAAAAUAUGAUGGUGAUGAUGGUUAUAAGAAUAUGAAAUUACCCUUGAAUGAUGAGUUUGAACCUAGGCCAAGUGCUACCAAAUAUAAUGAUUGAAUAGAAACAUGAAUGUGGCAUCUAUUAAAAUAAAAUUGUGUGCUAUAAGUUUAUUCAAAUGGUAAUUAUGUUGUCAUGUAUUAUGGUGUUUGAAUAAAAUAUGUAAAAAAAGUUUUUUUAGAAUCAUCCUAAUUUGGGUCUUUUAGUUUAGAAUAGAAUAUUACCGCUUUUAAUAAAUUAAUAAUCUAACUUCUUAUUAGUCGGUGUUUUCAUCCUUAAACUUUGACAUAUUUUAUAGAUAUUUCUCCAUUUACUCC
rnacentral:lncRNA from 1 species